GACAGAGGUCCCGAGCGUUAGGCGGAAUCACUGGGCUUAAAGCGUGUGUAGGCGGAUCGUUAAGUGCCUUGUGAAAUCCCACGGCUUAACCGUGGAACUGCUUGGCAUACUGGCGGUCUUGAGCCACCUAGGGGCAACCGGAACAAACGGUGGAGCGGUGAAAUGCGUAGAUAUCGUUUGGAACGCCAAUGGUGAAAACAGGUCGCUGGGGCUGAGCUGACGCUGAGACACGAAAGCCAGGGGAGCGAACGGG
rnacentral:rRNA from 1 species